GAUGAACGCUGGCGGCGUGCCUAAUGCAUGCAAGUCGAGCGAAUGGAUUAAGAGCUUGCUCUUAUGAAGUUAGCGGCGGACGGGUGAGUAACACGUGGGUAACCUGCCCAUAAGACUGGGAUAACUCCGGGAAACCGGGGCUAAUACCGGAUAAUAUUUUGAACUGCAUGGUUCAAAAUUGAAAGGCGGCUUCGGCUGUCACCGAUGGAUGGACCCGCGUCGCAUUAGCUAGUUGGUGAGGUAACGGCUCACCAAGGCAACGAUGCGUAGCCGACCUGAGAGGGUGAUCGGCCACACUGGGACUGAGACACGGCCCAGACUCCUACGGGAGGCAGCAGUAGGGAAUCUUCCGCAAUGGACGAAAGUCUAACGGAGCAACGCCGCGUGAGUGAUGAAGGCUUUCGGGUCGUAAAACUCUGUUGUUAGGGAAGAACAAGUGCUAGUUGAAUAAGCUGGCACCUUGACGGUACCUAACCAGAACGCCACGGCUAACUACGUGCCAGCCGCCGCGGUAA
rnacentral:rRNA from 1 species